CAGCGCUAUUAAUCAUAAAAAAACUAACCAAACAGCGGCUGGUUUAAUAAGGAAACAGCCCGAAACACCAAACUGACGUCGCGCUGCUUUCAUGGGAGGACGCUGUCAGCAGAGGGUACAUCUGGGUGAAGCUACAGGAAGGUCUGAUUUUUCAUUUUAACACUAUCCACAAGAAAGCAACCCAUGAACUGCAUUUGAUAAACCAGAGGGAUACACUAACAAAGUCUGCAGUGGGUUAGGUGUGAAGGUCCAAACAUAAAGGCACAGACACCGAAACCUCAAUAAGGGGAAGCGGAAUAAGAAGCCGACUCUUUCAUUGCCUUCUUCUGUGACUCUUCCCUUCCCUCAGAUCAACAAAGCUCGGUGCUCUCACUGAACAUGUGUCAAAAAAGGAGGUCAACACGCAAGCAAAGAUGAACCCUUAUGUUACUUCUCACUUCAGGAGGGAUCUCUUCCCCCAUUUUCAUUUGUUGUAGACUUU